CGACAAGCGGUGGAGUAUGUGGUUAAUUCGAUGCAACGCGAAGAACCUUACCUGGUCUUGACAUCCCGGAGACCCUUAGGAAACUAGGGGGUGCUUCCAUCUGGAAGAAUCUGGAGACAGGUGCUGCAUGGCUGUCGUCAGCUCGUGUCGUGAGAUGUUGGGUUAAGUCCCGCAACGAGCGCAACCCUUGCCUUUAGUUGCCAGCAGUUCGGCUGGGCACUCUAAAGGGACUGCCGGUGUUAAACCGGAGGAAGGUGGGGAUGACGUCAAGUCCUCAUGGCCUUUAUGACCAGGGCUACACACGUACUACAAUGGCCGAUACAAAGGGCAGCGACACUGCGAGGUGAAGCCAAUCCCGUAAAAUCGGUCUCAGUCCGGAUUGGAGUCUGCAACUCGACUCCAUGAAGUUGGAAUCGCUAGUAAUCGUGGAUCAGCAUGCCACGGUGAAUACGUUCCCGGGCCUU
rnacentral:rRNA from 1 species